rnacentral:lncRNA from 1 species
AUCAGAGAUACAAGAAAUGGCACAAUUAUCGUGCCAGUUUGGAGCUCUGCAAGAAUGGCGAAAGGCAUCAAUAUUGGGCAGCUGAAUAACUGAUGGAAUGUCAUUUGUUAAUGAAGAUUUACAGGACUUCAAACUUCGAAGGACUGGAAUUUUGUGAUGCAGCCUUCAGUCAGGGAAGCAAGUAUGCAUGCAGAAAUUCUUGACGCUGAAGUCCCUAACUUAUGGGUAUUUCUAGCAACUGAGUCCUAAAUCUUAUUUUAACAGCUGGGUCCCUAUGCUUUUGAUAUUGUAACAAUUGGGUUACUAGUGGACGGUUUCUAUCCACUUAUAGUCAAAAAGUCAAUUUUUUGGUAAAAUAAAAACACAACUUUUGCUGUCAAUCAUUUUUUUGACAACACUGAAAUCUGUCAACAAAGUGGGCAAAAUCAUCUGGCAAAAUAGCAUAACUCGAACAAGAUUAAUGAAAAGUUG